rnacentral:lncRNA from 1 species
CUCCUUAAGACAUCAGUUGUGCAACCUCCCUCCCAUUCUACUGUUUGCUUUUAUUGCUUGUGGGUCAGAAGCAGUGCAGUCUACAAGGAUUUCCUCCUUUCCUUCAAUUACUCCUGAAAGGCACUGCUUCUCAAGCCUGAUGUUUAAGUCAUGGAUUAUUUCCUAAACAGCACUGGGGCUGAAGCAGGAGGCAAAUGGCCGAUUCUCUCUGGAGGAAGAUGUGAAAAUCCAGGAUCCUGUGGACAUCGGUGGCUUUGGCUCCCUUGGGCGAGUGAGCAGAGUGAUGCUUCUCAGACUGCAGAAUGUCUUCCUGUUUGUGUAUCCUCUACUAUCAAUGCAAAGUACCUCUCAUCCAAUUUUCCACAGUCAACCCAAUGCGAAUACAAUCGACCCUCUGCGUCCUACUGUUCUGCAUCCCUGGAUUCAACCAACCAUCCAUUGAAGAUAUUUGGAAACAAAAACUGCACUUCUAGAGCAGCAAGAGACAUAGCACUCCUCCCCUGCAGAGACCACAGAAUCAUGGCGUCAUCUUGGAAGCAAAGAACAGCCCUCACCAGACACUAAACCUGUUGGCACUUUGAUGUUGGACUUCCCAGCAUCCAGAACUCUAAAAACUAAAAUUACUCAGUGCUUGUUAUUUUGUUCUAGCACACAAAUGGACUAAGAUAUUGCUAUAUUUUCUAGUGUUGAAAAUACAUUCAAUGUAACAAUUGCCCUCAGAUGUUGUCUAACAUAUAACUAAGAUCUAAAAAAUGCAACAAAAGCUUUGUGUUUUAGACUGGUGUUGUAUAUAAGAGUAAGAGGAGAGACAGGAAACUAGCCUGAUUUGAGAGGGAUGUAUUUGGGGCACCCAGUGUAACACCACACACAUAGAAGCCAAUAAAUAAAUGUUUGUUGAGUUAAUAAAAAGUGAGGUCUGUGAACAGGGGACUUUAUUAUUAUGGGAGGCACAGGGUGCAGUAGAAAUGGCUCUGGCCUUGAGGACACAUCUGUCCUGCACAUCUUUUGCUGCUCCUUCAUCCACUCCAGCCCUUAUGUACCUUAUGUACCUUAUGUACCCAUGAUGGCCUCCACUUGAGCUCUCUCCCCUUCUGGCUCUCAGAUAGGUAGGGCCAGUGGGGAGCAAUGGGAGAGGUCAGAGGGAGAAGGGAAGAGAAGGAGGCCACAGUACUCAAUCCUUGACCCCUUCCUUGUAAUGUCUAGGGAUAGCUGUGUCUCCCAAUCACAAGCCACUGUCCUGCCCUUUUUGACCUCCGACCCCAUCAACAUUCCAAGGGUGGAAAUGGUGAGGUUGGUGCUCUCCUCUGGGCACUGUUGUAACCUGUGGCUUCCCAACACCCUGCUGUAAACAGUCUUUUGAUGAAAGUCUUCUCAAAUUGCUUAAUUUGGACAGUGACAGCCUUUCCCACAUGGGCCUGUACAGCUAUGCUUGUUCAUAGGGAACACUUGGUUUUGUGCAGUAAAAAUCCAGUGAAGUGUGUUAAAGAAAAAAGCAAAGACAUGGGGUGAUGCAUGAGAAGCUGUUGAGUAACUUCUAGGGCCCAGAGGCAAGGUCAUCAGAACCCUUCCCAUGUGGUGCCAGAACUGGAACUAGAAGGUCAGCAGGAAGUAAAAUGGCCAUGCAAGGCACCCCUCCAGGCCUCAGUGGGGCUUUCAUAGCUGCUUCCCUCUGCAUGUCCCCCUGUCUCUCCCCACUAGCCAUGCCUGUCUCUCUUGGUUUCCCUGGUGAGAGAUGUUCCUCCCUUAAUUUACAGGUUCACAUGUUCUUAACUCAACUCACUAAGGUUCACAAUGCCUCUUAGGCCUUAAAAGAAUAACUAGGCUUUUCCACACAGGGCCAACACUCCACGCUUAUCCAAUUAGCUAUGGCAGGAGGAUCUGGGUCUGUUGUAUUUCUGCCUUCAUGAAUGAGGAAACAGUGGUAUAGUUACAUAAUUUUUAAGGUCACAUGGUGGUAGGACAAG